UACGUAGGGGGCUAGCGUUGUCCGGAAUCAUUGGGCGUAAAGAGCGCGUAGGCGGCCAGAUAAGUCCGGUGUGAAAGUCAAAGGCUCAACCUUUGAAUGCCGCUGGAAACUGUCUGGCUAGAGUCCGGGAGGGGCGAGUGGAAUUCCUGGUGUAGCGGUGAAAUGCGCAGAUAUCAGGAGGAACACCAAUGGCGAAGGCAGCUCGCUGGAACGGUACUGACGCUGAGGCGCGACAGCGUGGGGAGCAAACAGG
rnacentral:rRNA from 1 species